GCGUAACCUGCCCAUCAGAAGGGGAUAACACUUGGAAACAGGUGCUAAUACCGUAUAACACUAUUUUCCGCAUGGAAUAAAGUUGAAAGGCGCUUUUGCGUCACUGAUGAGAUGGACCCGCGGUGCAUUAUCUAGAUGGGGAGGUAACGGCUCACCAAGGCGACGAUGCAUAGCCCACCUGAGAGGGUGAUCGGCCACACUGGGACUGAGACACGGCCCAGACUCCUACGGGAGGCAGCACUAGGGAAUCUUCGGCAAUGGACAAAAGUCUGACCGAGCAACGCCGCGUGAGUGAAAAAAGUUUUCUGAUCGUAAAACUCUGUUGUUAUAGAAAAACAAGGAUGAGAGUAAAAUGUUCAUCCCUUGACGGUAUCUAACCAGAAAACCACGGGGAAAUACUUGCCACCACCCCCGGUAAUACAUAUGUGGCAAGCGUUGUCCCCAUUUAUUGGGCGUAAAAACGAGCGCACGCGCUUUCUUAAGGCUCAGAUGAGAGCCCCCCCCUCAAAAUUCGGAGAAGUCGUUGUUGAACUCUCGGGA
rnacentral:rRNA from 1 species